AAGCGGCACCGUAUUAAGCGGUCACCCUUUGUUAAGCGGUCAUGUGGCAAAGUCCCGAAAAUUUCAUAAUAUAAAUACUAGUUAAGUGACCUUUAUUGAACGGUCACCUCUAUUAAGCGGACGCGGUCACCCUUUCCACGGUCCCAAACUUAAUUUUUCAUUGUUUUGAAACUGUAUUAAACGGUCAGUGGAAAGUAACUACAGCAAACAUGAAACAUAAUACAAUAUAUUAUUAUAAUUAAAUAUUUAUUCGGCAAAAUGUCAAAGUUUUAAGUUGUGUUUAUCUCAUUACUCGAACUUCCGUAAUCACUGAAAGUGUCAACAGUCUUUUCAGUCCGUGUGGACGUAUUAUUCAAGCAAUUUAAAUUUUUCUUGUGUCAACUUUCCCUUCAGCCACUGACACGAAAAGGUAUCUCCAUGAAAGUGAUAUUCGCACGGAAUUUCUAAGCCAUAACCACCUCCUCUGUUGACACGCUUUCCUUUGACGAUUAUUUUACCAGAAUUUGUCUGCCGUUUUAAAAAAUUUGUCAGCCAUAGUGCCAUAAGUUUCGGGGCAUGUCCAACUGCGCUUAAGUGAAUAUUCCUCAUCGAGUUUUGGUUCCCAGUCGUCCAUGUACGCAUGAUAUCCCCGAAUAAAUGGACUAACUUGAAGUGUUGCUCAAUUCCUUUCAGUGUAAUUUUCUUUAGUCUCAGUUUCUGCAGC